rnacentral:rRNA from 1 species
UACGUAGGGUGCAAGCGUUGUCCGGAAUUAUUGGGCGUAAAGAGCUCGUAGGCGGUUUGUCGCGUCUGCUGUGAAAACCCGGGGCUCAACCCCGGGCCUGCAGUCGAUACGGGCAGACUAGAGUGCGGUAGGGGGAGACUGGAAUUCCUGGUGUAGCGGUGAAAUGCGCAGAUAUCAGGAGGAACACCGGUGGCGAAGGCGGGUCUCUGGGCCGUAACUGACGCUGAGGAGCGAAAGCGUGGGGGAGCGAACAGG